UUUUUCGGGAGUUUGUGUGUUCCAUGUGUACUCCUUGCACUCACAGCACUGAAAGUAGUAAGAAGCCACCUGGAAGUUUUCUGGAAAAAAAGCCAGUGCAGGUUUAUAAGGAAAGCAGAGGUGUGGGGCUUGGGAAAAGCUUUUAAUUAAAAAAUAUGAGUUCUAGGCCCAGGGCUGGCAGUAUCUAACUAUGUAACCUUGGGUAAGUCACCCCCUUUCACUCAACCUUACUUUCUACACCAUUAAAAUGAGGGAAUAGGAAUGCAGGGGAGUACAAAUUAUCCAACCCAUUUACUCUGCCUACAGCAGCCAGACGUUUUUUUUUCCUGGAGGCCAGGCACGGUGGCUCAUGCCUGUAAUCCCAACAUUUUGGAAUGCCAAGGCAGGAGGAUCACCUGAGGUCAGGAGUUCGAGACCAGCUUGGUCAACAUAGAAAAACCCAGUAUCUACUAAAAAUACAAAAAUUAGUCAGGCGUGGUGGUGGGCACCCUGUAAUCCCAGCCUCGGGAGGCCAAGGCAGGAGAAUUGCUUGAAGCUAGGAGGCGGAACUUGCAGUGAGCUGAGAUUAUGCCACUGCACUCCAGCCUGGCCAACAGAGUGAGACUCUGUCUCCAAAAAAAAUUAAAAUAAAAAUAAAAAAUUAAAAAAAAAAUAUUCUCUUGGGCAAGAUAGGAAGGAACAGACAGCCAAAUGGCACCCUGGCUAUCAGCCUUGUCAGAAAGUCAGGGAACAAGCUCGUAGUUGAAAGGAAUCCUGGAUUUAAGAGAUUAGCCCUCUAAGAGGGGCUGUGCAGCAAAGAGCAGAGGUGGAGAACCAUCACAGUGGUGCAGGCACUGUCCCAGGGAGGCUGCGGGCCCCAGAGUGGAUCCAAAGGACAUGCACUCCCUUUGUGUCACAACACCUUUGUCCAGAAAUUCUUCUCUUCCCUCACAAAGUCCCUAACCCCAUCAAGCUGUGUCAACCUUGACUUUUUAUUAUUUUUAAAGAGAUUCUCCAUCUUUUAAUGAGGAUAUCAAAACAAAGUUUUACUUUAGACAAGGCAUAUAUCAACUCUUAGAGCUAUGUAUAAUCAAACAUCUACUUAACAAUAUUUAAUAUUAGUUUAGUUAUAAAUACAUAUUUAAAUCACACUGCACAUAAAAUAUUAUUUAGAUAUCAUGCUUUUUUCUAUUUUAUUCAGUUAAUUAUUAUUCAAAUGACAGCCCUACUCUUGUGUUUCACAUAUAAGAACACUGAUUCUGAGAAAUAUAGAGACAGGGCCCCAAGUCCACAUGAUUAUCCUCAGGAGAUGUGGGGCUUCUGCCUCCAGAAUGAGGAAGUCACAGACACCAGAGGUGUUCCUGAGAACUUAGGAGCCUAGCAGAGCAGCUCUGAAAACGGAGGACAUUUAGUCCAUCUGUCACAAGUGCAAACACUUCUGGUCCUUGAGAGGUGUGGGAUAAAUUUUCAUGUGUACACCACCACUCUCUGAACCAGGCACUUUACAUGUGUAAAAAAUUCCCCAGGCGAAUACAAUGUACAACCAAGUUUGAGACCCAGCACCUUAGAGAGAGCAUCCCCUUCCCCUGUGGCUGAGCCUGAUAGCUGUCUCCUGUAUCAUGCAGCUGAGAAAGGCAGGCUCACCCCGCUUUAAAAAGAGACUCUAAGAAGUUAGGAAAGACUCUGAAUUCAGCUGUGAUGUAGCUCCCCUCUGGCAGAGAAAAGGGCAGAUUCCCAACAGACAGGUAGUGACCUGAUAUCCCUGUACCCGGGGAUUGGCACUGAGCUGGGAGCCAGACUCCCACAGCUCAACUGCAGGACCCAUGAGCAGGCCUAGAGUGCAGCCUGAGGUUUGGCACUACCAAGACCGCUGCUGGGACCUAGAACAUGUGCUGAGCCUAAGACUUAGUGAGGCAGCAAGGAAGUGGGGCCCACACAUGUCUGUUUCAGACAUGAACAGCAGGGCCAAGGCAACACGGACACCAGAGAGGUAGGGGAGGAGAGAAAUCCCAAAGAGGUCUCAGAAAGCUGGUAUCGGGUCAGCUUAGGCCACCAAGUGAGGACACACUCGUUGCAUAAGCCUGAGGCCAAUGCUAAGCAAUCCUCUGAGGGUUAGGAAGACUUCAUUCCACAGCUCUUGUCCAGGGCUCCAGGCAACUUGAAGCUGGGGUCCGAGCUCUGAUCCCAACAGAGCAAUAGCAUCCACUGGAGGAGCCUGAUGCUCCUCCGCUAGUUCCAACCCGUAGACCCAAAGCUGGACAGAGCUUCACUGUUCAUCCAGCCAAUUCCCCACCACACAGAUGAUGACAUGGAGGCCCUGGGACAGGGAGGAGCUUAGCUAAAAUCACAUGGCCCUUGUAUAACAUAGGUGAUACCGUGAACUACUAAGCAGUCCCUGAUUACCUCUGUAGCCACAGGUAAGAUGCUCUACCUCCCUAUGCCUCUGUCAGACACUAAGCAACGAGAAAAAACACUCUAGUUGUAUCCUCUGGCAGGCUGGACAUCCUCACCAACAGUCCUGCCCUCCCACCCCCGGGCAGCCCCAGUCUACUGAGCACCAGGAGCACCAGCUAAGGCCCCCACCACACAGCCCCUGAAGGCUUCCUCCAACCCACCACUCAGAGCAGCACCACCUUCAAGAAACAUGUUGCACCCAAUCCCCAAAUACCCAGACCCUGCUAGAAAGACAAAUUUUUGUCCAAGUCACCCCUAAAGUGACUGCUGCUUCUGCCCCAGCUGCCAGCAGGCUUAUCUGUGGCCCUGCUGCCGUGAUUAGGGCAACACUGGGAGAGAAGUCAGAGAAGCGACAGGUGAGACCACCACAGGUCCCAGAGGAUGGCGCUUACCAAGCGCCCAGGAACACCCACCCUGCAUGCUGCAGCCAGGCGGGCUGCAAGGCCUAAGCCUCGGGGAAUGGAUACUGGAUAGGGUAAGGGGAGCAGCCUGGAUCCUCUCCUCCUUUCUCUGAUGCAUCCUCAGCCAGGGCUGCAUUUCUCUAGCUCACCUGAGAUACUCCUGCAAGAAAGAGCUUGGUUGACUCCUCCUGUUUCUGUUUAUCUCGAAGGCUCUGCAGCAAUUUUCCCAAACUGAACAGCAAGAGGGAGACCUCAAAGAGGCGACUCUCUUCCUAGCUGCAUCUCCUUCCUAAUCCUCUGGGUGCCUUGGAAUAGAAGCUCAGAAGGAAGAAAACGACAUUUUCAACUUUCAGGAACUAGCUCUGUCGCCCUCUGCACAGCUCGGGAGACAGCACUCUCAGCCUUUUAGGACUCCAUCCAAAAAUCCUUCAGCCCUCCAUGUUCCCCAAAAUGACAGUGCUCAUGUGUGGCUGGAACCUGCCCCGAUCCGGCAGCUCAUUUAAAUAGAGCUCAUCACAACAACAGUGUUGGUGGUGAAGUGAGUAGCUGCAGGACCCUGGGGACCCCCUGUUUAUACGUAGGAAGAAUGAUGCAAUCUGGGUAUCAAAAUAGCAAUCCAGAAUGGAAUAACAGGCUCACGCAGCAGCGGUGCCUGCACAGCCAGAGCUCAAGUUGACACACUCUGUCAGCCCCACACUGCUGCAGCACGCAGAUGCCAGGCACACACUCUCACCGCAUCAUUUUAAAAAACAGCAGGAGCCCAAGAUAUCCCUCCAUGCCCCCGGCACUGAAGGAGGGUGUGGGGGGGCCUUCAACAGACAUUGAAAUCUGUCUCCUACAUACUCACCUGCUCCUGCCACUUCACCUGAAGUCCUUAUCCUGUGACGUCACAGUCAGUUGCCAUAGUGACCAAUUGUCCGUCACAAGCAGAGGAUUAGGACUUCGGAUGGAGAAGACACACAUUUACGAUGCACAAAGGUCCUGGGAGGUCUCCCUUGGCAGUUAACUCUACCCACCAGGAAGAUCCAGUCACACACAAGCAGGGAGGGAAAAAGGGAAGAAUGAACAGGGUUGACUGGAGGAGACAUUAGGAUGGGGCAAGACUACAAGUACAGCAUAAUUUCAAAAGCACAGAGCAACCAGAUGAGGGGGAGUGGCAGGGAUGUGCUUGGAAAGACCGGAAGGAGAGUAAGCUCCUGAAGGGACCUGAAUGCUAAGCUCAGGAGCUUGACCUUCAUCCUAAAAUAAAAGGCAGCCCAAAAAGUUUCUGGAGAGUGACUGAGCUGGGCUUUAUGAUUAUCUUGAUGGACUGAACACAGGGAGGUCAGGGUAGUUGAGCAUUAAUGGGACCCUAAAUAAGGGUAAAAAUGGAAAAAAGCAAAAGAAGACUCAUUUCAAAGAGAACUGACAGGACACAAGCAAAUUAGGAUGUUGGGGCUAGUGGUGGUGUGUGAAGAACAAGGAAUCAAGUGGAGGGGCUGUCAUGAACAGAGGGCUCCAGGCUCCAGCUUCUGCACCUGCUGCACACCCAGCUCACCAGCCUGCCCUUCACCUGGGAGACUUGAGUUACUGCCCACAACAGACCCCACAAGGCUGGACACACUGCAGCACCUGGAAUGAGCAAAGAGUAGUCACCCACCUCCCAGGCUCCUACAGCUGAGAUCUCACCUCUGGCCUCCCAUUCCCACCCAAGACCAUUAGAACCCCUGCAGCUGAGCUGCUCAUUAAGAUAAGUGUCAUUUCCCUCUCUGAUUCUAAGGUUGUAGCAUCUUGCAUCAGUUCCCCCUCUUUGGAUAUUCCUAAAGUCCCAAGGCCUGCCCACCGAGGGACCGUGAUUGCUCCUCCUUUCAGCAUUAGUAGUGUUCGGGGAUGCUGUCACUCUUCACUAGCUUCAAGAAGCAUCGGGCUAUGGUAGUUAUUUGGUGUUCUUAAAUCUCAUUAAGUCUAGCCCUGAAAGCCAGAAAGGGCUUAGAAUUGCCCAGUCAAUUAGUGCUAGUGUCCAGGUGAGCUCUAGGGUCUGUGACUUCCAGCUACAUCCUCAACUUUGAAAAUGGGAAAAAUAAGAUACUAAACAAGUAGAUUCUGAAAUCUGUAUCUAAGUAUCAAAGUCUUCCAGCCAUGAUUUGUCUUUUAAUUGAUUUGAAGAGAAACAAUAAGUAAUGUUCCUUUUCCUCACAUGGGGAAGGAAAUAUCCAAUCAAUUCCCUCUUCCCUUUCCUAAAAUGACAAAUAAAACCACAGCAACUCUGAGAACCUUGAAGACAGAGCCAGCAUAUGGUAAGAGUCAGUUUCAGGGAUGUUAGCUCCCUUCAGAGCUUGCUACAUUUACUUAAAGUAUAAUUUUGGUACUCAGUGGCCAACUUUCCAGACAGAAUUUGACCUGGGACCAUUCUUAAUUAGCCAAAAAAGCAAAUAGCCCCAAGUAGAUAUUCUCAUUGGCUGAGAAAAUCCAAUUCCAAUAGCUAGCAUUUGUGUACCCAGCCAUCCCACUGCAUGGCUAGGCCACUGUAUUCUCACCACACUCCUACCUUUGCUCUGGUCCCCAUCAUUAGCUUUUGAAGAUCUUGCCCAGCUGGUCUCCUCAGUACCUGAGAGGUGACGCAGACCCAUCUUCCUAGUUGCUGGGGAGAAUCUCAGCUAGGCUGUGGCUGUAUUAAUUAAAGAUUUGCACUUGAUCCAGCAAUUCAAAUACUGAGUAUACAAUAGUCCCCCCCUUAUUCAUGGGGGCUACUUUCCAAGAUGCCUGAAACAGUGGAUAGUACCAAACCCUAUAUAUACUAUAUUUUUCCUAUGCAUACAUACCUAUGAUAAAGUUUAAUUUGUAAAUUAGGCACAGUAGGAGAUUAACAAUAACUAAUAAUAAAAUAGAACAACUAUAAGAAUAUACUGUAAUAAAAGCAACAUGAAUGCAGCCUCUACUGUCUCGCUCUCUCUCUCUUCCCCCUGCCCCCCCACAAAAUCUCUUAAUAUUUUCAGGCUGUGAGUAACUAAAAACUUGAAAAGCAAAACCUUGGAUGCGGGGGGAGGGGACUACUGUAUUUCCAAAGAAAAUGAAAUCAGCAUGUCAGAGACAUACCUGCACUCCCAUGUUCAUUGCUGUAUUAUUCACAAUAGCCAGGACAGGGAAUCAACCUAAGUGUCUACUGAUGAAUGGAUAAAGAAAAUGUGAUAUAUAUACACAAUACUAUUCAACCAUUAAAAAAAAGGAAAACCUGUCAUUUGUGACAACAUGGUUGUACUUACAGCACAUUGUAAGUGAAAUAAGCCAGGUACGGAAAGACAAAUACUGUAUAAGCUCACUCACGUAGAAUCUAAAAAAACUGAUCUCAUAAAAGCGGAGAGUAAAAGAGCAGCUACCAGGGGCUAGAGUGGUUGGCAGGGGGCAAGGGUAGUUAGGGAGAUGUUGGUGAAAGAAUACAAAAUCCAAGUUAGAUAGCAGGAGUCAGUUCAAGAGAUCCAUUGUACAGCAUGAUAAGUAUGGUUAAUAAUAUAUUGUAUUCUUGAAAGAUGCCAAGAGAGUAGAUGUAAAGUGUUCUCACCACCAAAAUGAUAACUAUGUGAGGUGUUGUAUAUGUUAACUGGCUAGAUUUAGUCAUUCUGCAACGUAUCUAUACUUCAAAACAUCAUGUUGUACACUGUAAAUACAUACAGUUUUACAUGUCAGUUAAAAAUUUUUUUAAUUAAAAAAUAUUUAUAUUUGCUGGCUCAGGCUGCAGGAUUUGUUCUUUCUUCAAAGAUUUUCCAUGGACUCUCCUCAUCAGUUUGGUAUUCUAAGUGAGCGUGGACUCUCCCCGUGAGCAAAGUGCCACAAUGUCGAUCGCAAGCUUUGAAGACAGGUGAACCUGAAUUUGACCUUACCGGGCAGUAGUUGUUAACCUUAGUCUAUAAAUAUCCCAAUCCUCAUAUUUUUCAUCUAUAAAAUGGGAAUACUAAUACCUACUUUAUAAGGCUGCUGUGAAGUUUACAAAAGAUAAUGCCUGUACAGUGUCUGCCAACCAGUAAGUGCUUGAUAAAUGCAUUUUGUAACUCCCACUUGAAGAACAAAAAGGGACAGAUCACAAGUGAAAAAAGCCUUCUACCCAGGCUUUAUUGAUUAAGUCAUUUAUUCUAUAAAUAUUCACUUAAGACCUCCUCUCCUGUAUCAUGUUCUGUGUUGGGCUGCGGGGUUACAAACAUGAAAGGCACCGUCUGGUUGAAUGAGAAGAUGCCUACCUCAUGACAUCCCCUCAGUUCCAAGCCCCAGAGCAGGAGUACAGCCCUGGGGAGGCUCUGUUGAAGAAUUAGAGUUGAAAACAAGCUGGACAGACCCUGAGCCCAGGCACAGCCCCUCUUCCAUUCAACACAGCAACUGCUCGGCUCUGCCCAGCAAGUAGGAGAAACAGGUUUAUAGAAAUGAACUCAGCCCCAUGUAGCGUGGCUCCAUCUGGUUGGAGGCAUUGAAGCUAGGAACUUGUUUAUUCCUCAGCCUCUAUCCGCCUCCCCUGCCAUCCCUCUACCGGCUCCCACAUUUUACUUUAAAAAAAAAAAAACAGAUUUCUGCCCAGAUUCACAGAAAGAGGAUAAACGUUCCAGAAAGCCUGUGUUCCUACUCUGCUGGACAAACUGACUGCACUAAAAACUCUCUCCAAACAUGGCUUCUCAAACUACAGACCAGAAAUCUAAGUUCAGGUAUUAGGUAUUUCACUAGGCUAGCCAGAGACAGGUGACAGCUCUGCCUUUCAUCAGACAGCUGAUUUGGGAGCCAUUCUUUUGACCCUUCAGAAAAUAUUCAGUGGGCAACUGAUAUCUGCCAGUCCUAGUACGUGGACAACUUACCUGAGUUAUUGAUCCUUUGCUUGAACUUUAAACAAUCUUCUCUUCACUGUAUUAUUAUCACCUGUUUAUUUGGCUGUCAUUCAUUAGACUAUGAGCUCUUUGAAGUCAAGGGCUCUGUCUUUUCAUCUCUGUACCCUAAAUGCCAUACAGCCUGGUACACAGUAGUCAAUAAAUAUCCAUGGGGGAGAGACAGACACACAAACCAACAAAUACCACACCACAUAGGGUCCUAAUAGUUCCAAGUAAUAAAGAGGAAGUUAAGCCAGGCACGAUGGCAUAUUCCAAGCAGCAAACUUAGACAUUGCAGAUCUCCUGAGGUCCAGCCUUUGAAGUUACACAGUAACAUUUCUGCCACAUUCCAGUGGUUAAAGUAAGUCAUAGAACAAUACAGAUUCAAAGGAAACAAAUAGACUUCACCUCUUGGUGGGAUGGGUGGCAGAAAAGAAUUGUGGCCAUCUUUAAAUCCCCAUAGUGAUGAAGGGCACCAUCAUCAAAGCUGACAAAAGGUGCCACCACUGCUGCAGAGGCCCAAUAUCAUUUGGUCCAAAGCAUAGACUGCCUUAUGUUGAUGCAUUGAGACUGCCAUCUCCUAUUGCUGCUAAUACCAACAGUGCUAUUUACCAUUACUGAAGAAUUACGGUAAAGUCACAGGCACCAUCCUUCAUACUGUCAAUACUGCUGAAAUCAAUGGUAAUACCUUGCAUCCUCAUUGUCCAACAUGAUUUUAAUAAAACUCCUUUAGGGCCAGGUGCAGUGGCUCACGCCUGUAAUCCCAGCACUUUGGGAGGCCGAGGCAGGCAGGUCACUUGAGGUCAGGAGUUCAAAACCAGCCUGGCCAACAUGGCGAAACCCUGUCUCUACUAAAAAUACAAAAAUUAGCUGGGUGUGGUGGCACAUGCUGUAGUCCCAGGUAUUUGGG
rnacentral:lncRNA from 1 species